rnacentral:snRNA from 1 species
ACACUUUGGUAGCACACACACUACAGCUGGAUCGCUGCAGAGAUGAUUAGGGUAGUCCCUGAGUAAGGGUGACAUCAAUUCAGGAUGUGUUCCACGUUUUU